AUUGAACGCUGGCGGCAUGCUUUACACAUGCAAGUCGAACGGCAGCGCGGGCUUCGGCCUGGCGGCGAGUGGCGAACGGGUGAGUAAUGCAUCGGAACGUGCCCAGUAGUGGGGGUUAGCCCGGCGAAAGCCGGAUUAAUACCGCAUACGACCUGAGGGUGAAAGCGGGGGACCGAAAGGCCUCGCGCUAUUGGAGCGGCCGAUGUCGGAUUAGCUAGUUGGUGGGGUAAAGGCUUACCAAGGCGACGAUCCGUAGCUGGUCUGAGAGGACGACCAGCCACACUGGGACUGAGACACGGCCCAGACUCCUACGGGAGGCAGCAGUGGGGAAUUUUGGACAAUGGGGGCAACCCUGAUCCAGCCAUGCCGCGUGCGGGAAGAAGGCCUUCGGGUUGUAAACCGCUUUUGUUCGGGAAGAAAUCCUCUGGGCUAAUACCCCGGGGGGAUGACGGUACCGGAAGAAUAAGCACCGGCUAACUACGUG
rnacentral:rRNA from 1 species